UCAUACAGAUGAGCAAAGAAAGUGGUAUCUUUCGAUGGAAUCUACUCCUGGUGAAGAUGCUGUGAA
rnacentral:pre_miRNA from 1 species